rnacentral:rRNA from 2 species
GCGGCGUGCCUAAUACAUGCAAGUCGAACGCACUCUCGUUAGAUUGAAGAAGCUUGCUUCUGAUUGAUAACAUUUGAGUGAGUGGCGGACGGGUGAGUAACACGUGGGUAACCUGCCCUAAAGUGGGGGAUAACAUUUGGAAACAGAUGCUAAUACCGCAUAAAACCUAGCACCGCAUGGUGCAAGGUUGAAAGAUGGUUUCGGCUAUCACUUUAGGAUGGACCCGCGGUGCAUUAGUUAGUUGGUGAGGUAAAGGCUCACCAAGACCGUGAUGCAUAGCCGACCUGAGAGGGUAAUCGGCCACACUGGGACUGAGACACGGCCCAGACUCCUACGGGAGGCAGCAGUAGGGAAUCUUCCACAAUGGACGAAAGUCUGAUGGAGCAACGCCGCGUGAGUGAAGAAGGUUUUCGGAUCGUAAAACUCUGUUGUUGGAGAAGAACGUAUUUGAUAGUAACUGAUCAGGUAGUGACGGUAUCCAACCAGAAAGCCACGGCUAACUACGUGCCAGCAGCCGCGGUAAUACGUAGGUGGCAAGCGUUGUCCGGAUUUAUUGGGCGUAAAGCGAGCGCAGGCGGUUUCUUAAGUCUGAUGUGAAAGCCUUCGGCUCAACCGAAGAAGUGCAUCGGAAACUGGGAAACUUGAGUGCAGAAGAGGACAGUGGAACUCCAUGUGUAGCGGUGAAAUGCGUAGAUAUAUGGAAGAACACCAGUGGCGAAGGCGGCUGUCUGGUCUGUAACUGACGCUGACGCUCGAAAGCAUG